CAGAACAUCAGAGCGCCAAUUCAUGCACAGCCAACUCAAAGAAAGGAGCUGGAUGUGGCAUCACAUGCUGGAGUCUGAAGACAGGGGUUACUCCCUGAAAACAUUUACUCACCAUUUGAAAUAAAAUAAUAUAUUUUGAGGAAUACGGAGAGUGCAUCUUCUUUGACAUACUGAAUAUUUCUGGAUUGCACCCCGGAUACAAGACGGAACAGUGAGUGCUGAUACUUUGAACAAUAUAUAUAUAGGCACCUAUCUUUUGGAAUGGUUGCGUGAGACACUACAAUGGUAUCAUGAUAAGAUUGUCCUGAAAAAGACUUACUAUUGGAGCCGAAACGUCAACUUAACUUAUAUGUGAUGUGAAUAAUCAAUUAAAGAUACAAUUUUGAAGAGUUAA